UGAGCGCCAAGUAGCGGGCCUAAGGGGAGGUAAGAAGGUACAGAUGGACUAAGGAGAGUGAAAAGGCUCUUCUCGACACAUAGAAAAGACUGGUACAAGACAACGACCGUUUCCAGUUCAUUCGAUACUGAGAUGCAAGACACGGACCAUUUCGAGAUCAAUCCGACUUAUGCUCUGUUCUCCCAAAAACAGGUGGAUCUGCAAUUACCAGCCCGGUUACAAUCUUACCAUCCAUACAAUGAGAGAGAGAGAGCAACAAGAGCAGUUGCAUCUCUAUUUCAGGAUCAUAAGGUAGACCAUCAUUGGGAAAAAUUCAGACAGUUCUUCUCCAUCAAGCAGCAAUGCAUUGGGGAGUUAAACGAUGUCUAAACUGACAAACGAGAACAACAAAAAAAAAAGAAAAAAAAUGAGA